rnacentral:rRNA from 1 species
UGGGGAAUAUUGCACAAUGGGCGCAAGCCUGAUGCAGCCAUGCCGCGUGUAUGAAGAAGGCCUUCGGGUUGUAAAGUACUUUCAGUCGGGAGGAAGGUGGUAAGGUUAAUAACCUUGGCAAUUGACGUUACCGACAGAAGAAGCACCUGCUAACUCCGUGCCAGCAGCCGCGGUAAUACGGAGGGUGCAAGCGUUAAUCGGAAUUACUGGGCGUAAAGCGCACGCAGGCGGUUGAUUGAGUCAGAUGUGAAAUCCCCGGGCUUAACCCGGGAAUUGCAUCUGAUACUGGUCAGCUAGAGUCUUGUAGAGGGGGGUAGAAUUCCAUGUGUAGCGGUGAAAUGCGUAGAGAUGUGGAGGAAUACCGGUGGCGAAGGCGGCCCCCUGGACAAAGACUGACGCUCAGGUGCGAAAGCGUGGGGAGCAAACAGG